GCAGUGGUGGGUCGGUGGUAAAAUUCUUGCCUUCCAUGCAGGGGACCCAGGUUCAAUUCCCAGCCAAUGCA
rnacentral:tRNA from 1 species